UUUCCUACGGGGCGCAGCAGUGGGGAAUAUUGCACAAUGGGGGAAACCCUGAUGCAGCAACGCCGCGUGAGUGAAGAAGUCAUUCGUGAUGUAAAGCUCUAUCAGCAGGGAAGAAAAUGACGGUACCUGACUAAGAAGCCCCGGCUAACUACGUGCCAGCAGCCGCGGUAAUACGUAGGGGGCAAGCGUUAUCCGGAUUUACUGGGUGUAAAGGGAGCGCAGACGGCUGUGCAAGUCUGGAGUGAAAGGCGGGGGCCCAACCCCCGGACUGCUCUGGAAACUGUAAAGCUGGAGUGCAGGAGAGG
rnacentral:rRNA from 1 species